CUGCUCAUUUCAGCAGCACAUAUUCUAAAAUUGGCAUGAAACAGAGAAGAUUGGCAUGGCACUUGCACAAGGAAGACAUGCAAAUUCAUGAAGCAUUAUGUUUUG
rnacentral:snRNA from 1 species